rnacentral:rRNA from 1 species
ACUUUCUUACACCGAAUGCUUGCAUUCACCGUAAGAAGUUGAGUGGCGGACGGGUGAGUAACACGUGGGUAACCUGCCUAAAAGAAGGGGAUAACACUUGGAAACAGGUGCUAAUACCGUAUAUCUCUAAGGAUCGCAUGAUCCUUAGAUGAAAGAUGGUUCUGCUAUCGCUUUUAGAUGGACCCGCGGCGUAUUAACUAGUUGGUGGGGUAACGGCCUACCAAGGUGAUGAUACGUAGCCGAACUGAGAGGUUGAUCGGCCACAUUGGGACUGAGACACGGCCCAAACUCCUACGGGAGGCAGCAGUAGGGAAUCUUCCACAAUGGACGCAAGUCUGAUGGAGCAACGCCGCGUGAGUGAAGAAGGUCUUCGGAUCGUAAAACUCUGUUGUUAGAGAAGAACACGAGUGAGAGUAACUGUUCAUUCGAUGACGGUAUCUAACCAGCAAGUCACGGCUAACUACGUGCCAGCAGCCGCGGUAAUACGUAGGUGGCAAGCGUUGUCCGGAUUUAUUGGGCGUAAAGGGAACGCAGGCGGUCUUUUAAGUCUGAUGUGAAAGCCUUCGGCUUAACCGGAGUAGUGCAUUGGAAACUGGAAGACUUGAGUGCAGAAGAGGAGAGUGGAACUCCAUGUGUAGCGGUGAAAUGCGUAGAUAUAUGGAAGAACACCAGUGGCGAAAGCGGCUCUCUGGUCUGUAACUGACGCUGAGGUUCGAAAGCGUGGGUAGCAAACAGGAUUAGAUACCCUGGUAGUCCACGCCGUAAACGAUGAAUGCUAGGUGUUGGAGGGUUUCCGCCCUUCAGUGCCGCAGCUAACGCAAUAAGCAUUCCGCCUGGGGAGUACGACCGCAAGGUUGAAACUCAAAGGAAUUGACGGGGGCCCGCACAAGCGGUGGAGCAUGUGGUUUAAUUCGAAGCAACGCGAAGAACCUUACCAGGUCUUGACAUCCUUUGACCACCUAAGAGAUUAGGCUUUCCCUUCGGGGACAAAGUGACAGGUGGUGCAUGGCUGUCGUCAGCUCGUGUCGUGAGAUGUUGGGUUAAGUCCCGCAACGAGCGCAACCCUUGUUGUCAGUUGCCAGCAUUAAGUUGGGCACUCUGGCGAGACUGCCGGUGA